rnacentral:rRNA from 1 species
UACGUAGGGGGCAAGCGUUGUUCGGAGUUACUGGGCGUAAAGGGUGUGUAGGCGGUCUACUAAGUCUGGUGUGAAAUCUCCCGGCUCAACUGGGAGGGUGCGCCGGAAACUGGAAGGCUAGAGUGCGGGAUGGGAGAGUGGAAUUCCUGGUGUAGCGGUGAAAUGCGUAGAGAUCAGGAGGAACACCCAUGGCGAAGGCAGCUCUCUGGUCGACCUCUGACGCUGAGACGCGAAAGCGUGGGGAGCGAACGGG